rnacentral:lncRNA from 1 species
ACCUUGUCAAUAUAUUGCUUUUAUUUUGCCAUAGGUUUGCCUGGCAAAUGUGUUUCUCAUACCCUUGGGCUGCUAUUUUCUGGGUUUGUCUCUUUUAGAAUGGCAGUUUGGAAAACCCUCAUUCCUCCUCAGCCUCCUGAAGUGGCUAGUCCUCGAAUGGAGAGCUCUAUUCGGAGUAUGUCCGGGUCACCUGGGCCUGCAGGUGCCAAACCUAAAUCUGAAAUCCACGUGUCUAUGGCCUCUCCGGUCACUGUGUCCAUGGAGACCGUAUCCAAUCAAAAUAAUGAUCAGCCUACCAUUGCUGUCCCUCCCACUGCCCAGCAGCCACCUCCAACCCUUCCAACCAUGAUUGCCGCAGCUAGUCCCCCAUCCCAGCCAGCCGUUGCUCUCUCAACCAUUCCUGGAGCUGUCCCCAUCACUCCACCCAUCACAACUAUUGCAGCUGCACCACUACCAACAGCCACUGUGAGUGGCAGCCUCUCCUCUGUCGUAGGCCCCCCUAUACCUGAGAUCAAAGUGAAAGAGGAAGUAGAGCCAAUGGACAUCAUGAGGCCAGUUUCCGGUAAGUUCAUUCACAGAAUACUCUCCCUUGACAGUUACUUCUUUCCUGCUUCCUAACACUGCACUCUAGAGUUUACCUCUUUUUUAAUGUGACCACAAACCAGGACAUAUGACUCUGUGGUGCCCGGCUUUAAAUGUUGCAUUUCAUUUGUUUUUAGUAAAUGGAAGGCACUCCUUUUAAACACAAAGACCAUUUUGGUUGCCUUUUUGUCAUUAAUUUUAAUGUCUAACUAAAGUCAUGAGAGUAAUAGUUCCCCGUGUGUAUCUUUUAAUAUAGAUUCCUUGUAUUCAUUAAGAAAAUAUUACAGCCAGGCCUGGUGACACACACCUGUAACCCUGCAUGUGAGAGGCUGAGGCAGGAAGAUCACAAGUUUACGCCCACCCUGGACGGUGUAGUGACUUAGCAAGACCCUUUCUCAAAAUUUAAAAGCUAAUAAAAAGGGCCAGGAAUGUAGUUCAGUGUGAAGGCCCUGGGUUCAGUCCCUACUAGCACCCAAAUAAGAGAGGGAAGGAGGGAAAAAGGGGAGGAAGAAUAUUGCCUUGACAAGGAGUCAAGAUAUGAUCAUAGCUAAGUUCUGUUUAUUUACACUGUGGAGAUCUACAAAAAAAAAUAAGACUUGAAGCUACAAGGGAGAUUAUUAGAGAGAGAGAGGGUGAGAGGGCCAGGAGGGUUAGGAACUGUUGAGGGUGCUGUGAUCCAACCAUGCAGGGCCGGGGACUUAGCUCAGUGGUUCUGCCACCUGCCUCGCAAGUGCAAGGUCCCAAGUUCAAUUCCCAGUACCAAAAAAAAAAAAAAAAAAAAAAGAGAAGUAUGUUACAUGCAUGUAUGAAAAUGCCACUGCAAAACCCAGUAUUGGGGGCCAGGGAUUUAGCUCAGUGGUUUGGGCUCCUGCUAUGCAAAUGCAAGGACCUGAGUUCAAUCCCUGGUGCCGAAAAAAACCGAAAACCAAAAAUCCCCAGUAUUGGCAAAACAAGUGACAUGCAGUUUUGGUUUUGGUUUUGGUUUUUUGAGACAAGGUCUAGCUAUACAGUUCAGGCUGGCCGUAAACUCACAGUGAUCCUCCUGCCUCAGCCUACUGAGUGCUGGGAUUACAGGCUUGCACCAUAAUGCUAAAUUUAGAUUUUUGUAACAUACUAAAAUUGGGGGGGGGUUAUAAAGAUAAGAUUUGCAUUUUGUUCCUUUUCAAAUUUUUGUACAAUUUCUGUAUGUUUUCUUGUA